rnacentral:rRNA from 1 species
UGAUGCUUGCAUUGAUGAAAGAUGAGCGGCGGACGGGUGAGUAACGCGUGGGUAACCUGCCCUAUACACAUGGAUAACAUACUGAAAAGUUUACUAAUACAUGAUAAUAUAUAUUUACGGCAUCGUAGAUAUAUCAAAGUGUUAGCGGUAUAGGAUGGACCCGCGUCUGAUUAGCUAGUUGGUGAGAUAACUGCCCACCAAGGCGACGAUCAGUAGCCGACCUGAGAGGGUGAUCGGCCACAUUGGAACUGAGACACGGUCCAAACUCCUACGGGAGGCAGCAGUGGGGAAUAUUGCACAAUGGGCGCAAGCCUGAUGCAGCAACGCCGCGUGAACGAUGAAGGUCUUCGGAUCGUAAAGUUCUGUUGCAGGGGAAGAUAAUGACGGUACCCUGUGAGGAAGCCCCGGCUAACUACGUGCCAGCAGCCGCGGUAAUACGUAGGGGGCUAGCGUUAUCCGGAUUUACUGGGCGUAAAGGGUGCGUAGGUGGUCUUUCAAGUCGGUGGUUAAAGGCUACGGCUCAACCGUAGUUAGCCUCCGAAACUGGAAGACUUGAGUGCAGGAGAGGAAAGUGGAAUUCCCAGUGUAGCGGUGAAAUGCGUAGAUAUUGGGAGGAACACCAGUAGCGCAGGCGGCUUUCUGGACUGCAACUGACACUGAGGCACGAAAGCCGUGGGUAGCAAACAGGAUUAGAUACCCUGGUAGUCCACGCUGUAAACGAUGAGUACUAGGUGUCGGGGGUUACCCCCCUCGGUGCCGCAGCUAACGCAUUAAGUACUCCGCCU